rnacentral:rRNA from 1 species
GACCGCCUGGGGAGUACGGCCGCAAGGUUAAAACUCAAAUGAAUUGACGGGGGCCCGCACAAGCGGUGGAGCAUGUGGUUUAAUUCGAUGCAACGCGAAGAACCUUACCUACUCUUGACAUCCAGAGAACUUAGCAGAGAUGCUUUGGUGCCUUCGGGAACUCUGAGACAGGUGCUGCAUGGCUGUCGUCAGCUCGUGUUGUGAAAUGUUGGGUUAAGUCCCGCAACGAGCGCAACCCUUAUCCUUUGUUGCCAGCGGUCCGGCCGGGAACUCAAAGGAGACUGCCAGUGAUAAACUGGAGGAAGGUGGGGAUGACGUCAAGUCAUCAUGGCCCUUACGAGUAGGGCUACACACGUGCUACAAUGGCGCAUACAAAGAGAAGCGACCUCGCGAGAGCAAGCGGACCUCAUAAAGUGCGUCGUAGUCCGGAUUGGAGUCUGCAACUCGACUCCAUGAAGUCGGAAUCGCUAGUAAUCGUGGAUCAGAAUGCCACGGUGAAUACGUUCCCGGGCCUUGUACACACCGCCCGUCACACCAUGGGAGUGGGUUGCAAAAGAAGUAGGUAGCUUAACCUUCGGGAGGGCGCUUACCACUUUGUGAUUCAUGACUGGGGUGAAGUCGUAACAAGGUAACCGUAGGGGAACCUGCGGUUG